rnacentral:rRNA from 1 species
UACAGAGGGUGCGAGCGUUGUCCGGAAUCACUGGGCGUAAAGGGCGCGUAGGCGGUCGCGUAAGCGUGUGGUGAAAGCCCGGGGCUCAACCCCGGGUCGGCCAUGCGAACUGCGGGACUGGAGCAGAUCAGAGGCAGGCGGAAUUCCGGGUGUAGCGGUGGAAUGCGUAGAGAUCCGGAAGAACACCGGUGGCGAAGGCGGCCUGCUGGGAUCUUGCUGACGCUGAAGCGCGACAGCGGUGGGGAGCAAACGAGG